UUUAUUUUCAUCAAUUAUUUUCUCAAAGGGCCACCCACGUUUUUGGCAAUAAAAACCCCACUAAAUUGAAGCAUUUAACCUCAAACUUAAAUCGCACCCAUGUUUUCUCUCUUAAAUGAAAUUUGACCUUUCAUUUGCUUUAAGUUAUGGGAUAUUUACCUAUAAAUAGAAACCUCAUUUCACUCAUUUUUCUCACACCAAAAGCAAGAGCUUUUACAUACUAAAGAAAGAGUUUCCAAGAGAGAAAAAGAGAGGGAGGAAAACUAUUUUUCCUAGAAGUUUAAGAAGUGUCUUCAAGCAUCAAUUCUCAACGGUUUUCAAACAUCCAAGGAGUGCAUUUCUUUCAACGUCCAAGUUUCAUCGAAGUUUUCAGUCCAAGUUUUCAAAGUUUCAAAAGCAUCAAUCAAGGUAGGUAAAGGUGCAAUGUGUUUAAUCGUGUUAAGUUAUAAGUUUCGAUUCAUGUUAAUGUUUGUAUGUCAAAUGGUACUCUGGUACGGCAUAUCCCUCUAUGUUAAUGGUUGUAUGUCAAAUGGUACUCUGGUACGAUGUACCCCUCUAUGUUGAAGAAAUGUUCUUAUGUCAAAUGGUGCCCUCGGGUACGGCAUGUAUAAAAAGUUAUAAAGUUAAUUUUUGAAAUGUAUAGUUUGAUCACGAAUGCACCUAUGACACCUAUUGAGUUUUUCAACUCACGGGUUUAAUCCCAUCUCUACAUAUUGAAAGAAUUCUACCUCAGGCAUGGAUGGAGGAGAAGAUGGAGAGUGAUGCAACGAGUCCAUGGAAAUCCGGUGAAUAAGUGAUUUGGAUUUAUUUUUAUGAAAUGUUUUCCAAUGUUAUUUCUUUAAAGUUUUGAAUAACACAGAAUGCGAGAACAAGUUAUGUUUUCUUCAAAUAAAUUACAUUUGUUUGUUUUGAAAAAUGAUUCAGUAUUUUUGUUUAAAGUAUUUGAAAUAUUGUUAUUUAAAUUAUUAUCCGAAGAUGUAAGCUUCCGCUAAAGUGUAUACACUUGUUACUAAACCACCGGUUAAGCUAAGUAAAGUAAGUAGCGUUCCCGUCCACUAGGGGUCGGGGCGUUACAGCGUGGUAUCAGAGCAAGGUUUAACCGGUUCUGUAGACCAAGUAUGUUUUUUUUUAAAACAAAAGAAAGGUGAAAAGUUUAAGGUAUUCCAUGGCAUCGUCCAUCCAUCCAUCAAUCUCAUCCUAUGGCCCAAGUAUGUUCAUAUUUAAAGUUAAUGAUUAUGUUUAUGUUAUGAUGCUUUGAUAUGAUUUAGAGAAAUAAAAUACUAUCUUCUUUGCUUUAGUAUUCAAAGAAUAAAACUAAUAAGAACCAUAUGUUUUGUCUAAAGAAAAUGGCCCGCGUAAACCAAAACUUGAUAAGAGACCUCCUUCGAGCAGUUCAAGAUCUAGGCAGGCAAAACCCGAACCAAGCUCAACCCCUACCACUAGCUCCUAAUGUUUCAAACCAUGCUUUAGUGGUCGAACAAUUUCAAAGGCACAAGCCCCCUACCUUCAACGGAGCAGCUGAUCCACUUGCAGCCGAGGAGUGGCUUUGAAAGUUGGAGCAUAUAUUUCGAUUGAUAGGGUGCACAGACGCUCAGAAAGUCCAGUGUGCUGAGUUCAUGUUCUCCGGCGAUGCAAGUCACUGGUGGGACUCGAUGUCAAGGAUGAGGACCCCAGAGCAACAAGCGGAAUUGGCUUGGGAGCAAUUCAAAGGGAAAGUAAUGGACAAGUACUUUUCCCAGUCCUUGAGGGAAAACCAAUGGAAGCGAACCUAUACAUGAUAGAAAUGAAGGAUUUUGAUGUAAUACUAGGCAUGGAUUGGUUAGGUUGUAAUUACGCCACCAUCCGAUGUAAGGAAAUGGAAGUAUCAUUUCAGAAACCAGGAGAGGAACCAUUUUCGUUCCUUGGAAUGAAGACGAAACCCCUUAUUCGACUAGUAUCGACUUUACAAGUUGAGAAAAUGUUGAGAAAAGAAACAUGUCAAGGAUAUCUAGUAAGUAUCUCAGGAGGGAAACAAGAGACGAUAAGGGUUGAAGAUGUACUAGUAGUACGGGAAUUCGUAAAUGUGUUUCCAGAAGAUCUAUCUGGUAUUCCACCCAAUAGACAAGUGGAAUUCACCAUAGACCUAAUUCCUAGGGUGGCACCAGUAUCUAAGGGCCCAUAUCAAACGGCCCCAAAGGAACUACAAGAAUUAAAGAAGCAGUUCCAAGAACUCCUAGAUAUGGGCUUCAUACGACCAAGCGUAUCUCCAUGGGGUGCGCCGGUGUUGUUUGUAAAGAAGAAAGAUGGAAGCAUGAGGAUGUACAUCGAUUAUAGGGAGAUAAAUCAAUUAACCAUCAAGAAUAAGUACCCACUCUUGAGGAUCGAGGAUCUUUUAGAUCAACUGAAAGGAGCUAAGGUAUUUUCCAAGAUCGACUUAUGAUCAAGAUACCAUCAACUGAAAGUAGAGACAAAGGAUAUACCUAAGACAACUUUUAGAAGUCGAUAUGGACACUAUGAGUUUACGGUGAUGCCGUUUGGGCUAACCAAUACACCUGCAGUGUUCAUGGACCUGAUGAAUUGAGUGUUUUAUCAAUACUUGGAUAAGUUUGCCAUAGUCUUCAUCGAUGACAUUCUGAUAUAUUCCCACCAACAAAUGCUGACGAAGUACGGAGUUUUCUAGGAUUGGCUGGAUAUUAUAGGAGAUUCAUAGAAGGAUUCUCCAAAAUAGCUAGACCAAUGACGCAGUUUACAAGGAAGGGAGUAAAAUUCCAAUGGACGGAAAAAUGCGAACAAAGUUUCCAAGAACUUAAGCAGAAGUUGAUAUCAGCACCUGUAUUAACAAUACCUGAAGGUACGGAAGGGUUUGUUAUAUACAGCGACGCAUCCAAGCGAGGAUUGGGAUGUGCACUAAUGUAGAAUGGAAAAGUGAUAGCCUAUGCUUCAAGACAAUUGAAGAAACAUGAGCAUAACUACUCGACGCAUGAUUUAGAACUUGUAGCUGUAGUACACGCUUUGAAGAUAUGGCGACGCUACUUGUAUGGACGGAAGUGUGAUAUCUACACAGAUCACAAAAGUCUCAAGUACUUCUUCACACAGAAGGAAUUGAAUAUGCGACAAAGACGAUGGUUGGAAUUGGUGAACGAUUACGACUGCACUAUUCACUACCAUCCAAGUAAGGGUAAUGUUGUGGUCGAUGCUCUAAGUAGAAAAUCAAUGGGACAAUUGACGUCACUACCCACCUCUCAAGUGGAGUUAGUCAAGGACAUGGAAAAGUUGCAGAUCGAAGUGGUUACCACACCAGGACAAGUCACUGGUCACCUAGCAGCUUUAAUAAUUCGACCUACUGUUAGAGAUCGAAUUAUAAAAGCACAAAAUAAAGACUCAUUUGUGCAGAAGAUUAAGAAUGAAGUUGGUACCGAUAAGAAAAAGGACUUUGGAAUAACUGAGGAUCAGGCACUGAUAUUUAGAAGAAGAAUUUACGUACCUAAAGAAUGAAGCCUUGAGAAACGAGAUAUUGAAAGAAGUUCAGUCCACCCCGUACACCACACAUCCCGGUGGUACGAAAAUGUAUCGAGAUCUUCGAGAUACAUUUUGGUGGAGAAAAUAUGAAAAGAAGUAUAGGGCUGUACGUGCAGAAGUGUAUGGUAUGUCAACAGGUUAAGGCAGAACACCAAAAACCAGCUGGAUUGUUAAAUCCACUAGAUAUACCUAAAUGAAAAUGGGAAAAUAUCACAAUAGACUUUGUGGUUGGAUUCCCGAAGUCAACAAGAGGAAAUAAUGCUAUAUGGGUAGUAGUGGAUCGACUAACGAAGUCAGAUCUUUUUCUUCCAGUGAAAAUGACAUUCAGUUUAGACCAAUUAGUACAGUUGUACAUUAAAGAGGUUGUGAGAUUACAUGGUGUACCUGUAUCCAUUGUGUUUGACAGAGACCCAAGGUUCACGUCCAAAUUUUGGAAAAGUCUACAAGGAGCUAUGGGAACGAAGCUGAACUUUAGUACAGCAUAUCACCCUCAGUCCGAUGGUCAGUCUGAAAAGACCAUCCAAACUUUGGAAGACAUGCUAAGAACAUGUGUUUUGGAUCUAGGAGGUAAUUGGGAGUCAUACUUACCUCUAGUAGAGUUCGCUUAUAAUAACAGUUUCCAAGCAACUAUUAGAAUGGCACCAUACGAAGCUCUCUAUGGUAGAAGAUAUAGAUCCUCUGUUCAUUGGGAUGAAGUUGGAGAGAAGAGAGUUUUAGGACCAGAAAUAUUUGAAAGGACGGUCGAGGUAAUCGAUAAGAUCCGUGCAAGAAUAAAGGCAGCACAGGUCGACAAAAGAGCUAUGCAGAUACAAGGAAGAAGGAUUUAGAAUUUCAAGUUGGGGAUAAAGUGUUUCUGAAAGUAGCACCGAUGAAAGGUGCAUUUAGAUUUGGAAAGAAAGGCAAGCUAUGACCCCGGUAUAUCGGACCUUUCGAGAUACUUGAUAGAGUCGAAAAUGUGGCUUACCGACUAGCUUUGCCACCUUAAUUAUCGACAGUGCACAAUGUGUUCCAUUUAUCGAUGAUAAAGAAGUAUGUACAUGAUCCUAAUCAUGUAGUGAGUUAUCAAAGUUCGGAGGUACAGAAACAUUUAUCGUACGAGGAACUACCGAUCAAGAUAUUGGAUCGAAAAGUGCAUAAACUAAGGAAUAAAGAGAUUCAGCUGGUUAAGAUACAGUGGAAUCAUCAUAGUGUAGAAGAAGCCACUUGGGAAAAAGAAGAAGAAGCAAAAUAUAAGUAUCCAACACUAUCGCCCAAUCAGAAGGUAAAUUUCAAGGACGAAAUUUUAAUUAAGGUGUAGGGGAUGUAGAACCCCAAAUAAUUCUAGACACCUUAGUGGCACUAAGACAUGAAUAUUGGAUGACUAAAGUAUACUUCAGAUUUUUAGUCUCAUUUGAGAACCAUUUUCGACAUAGGAAACAUUCGAAAUCUAAAUAAAAGUUGUAGUUCUUUCAGUUAGCUUUUCAACCCACUUUGAAUUACCUCAAUCGGAUAUCGGGAGAAGAAGUUAUGAUAGAAACACUGAAGGCUACAACAGUGUCAACCGGACUACAACCGGUCCACCGAAACUGCCUGAAAUGAAAAUUCUCGUUUUUCUCUAGAAUUUAAAUAUUUAUUUUCAUCAAUUAUUUUCUCAAAGGGCCACCCAAGUUUUUGGCAAUAAAAAUCCCAUUAAAUUGAAGCAUUUAACCUCAAACUUAAAUCGCACCCAUGUUUUCUCUCUUAAAUGAAAUUUGACCCUUCAUUUGCUUUAAGUUAUGGGACAUUUACCGAUAAAUAGAGAUCUCAUUUCACUCAUUUUUCUCACACCAAAAGCAAGAGCUUUUACAUACUAAAGAAAGAGUUUCCAAGAGAG
rnacentral:lncRNA from 1 species